UACGGAGGGGACUAGCGUUGUUCGGAAUUACUGGGCGUAAAGCGUGCGCAGGCGGUUUUGUAAGCCAGAUGUGAAAUCCCCGGGCUUAACCUGGGAAUGGCAUUUGGGACUGCAAGGCUUGAGUGCGGCAGAGGAGACUGGAAUUCCUGGUGUAGCAGUGAAAUGCGUAGAUAUCAGGAGGAACACCGAUGGCGAAGGCAGGUCUCUGGGCUGACACUGACGCUCAUGCACGAAAGCGUGGGGAGCAAACAGG
rnacentral:rRNA from 1 species